GUUUGCCGUGCUUUUGUGUAUUUGUACAUGUGCGGGAAGUUUUGUUUGCCGAAAUGCUGUGGAAGAAGCGUGAUAGCAUGCCUGCUAGUAUUACUAAAAAGAACAGCAUCGGCAUAGAAAGUCCAUUGGAAUUUGACUUCAGUGUUAUCUGCCUCCAUGACACCUUUGCCUAGAGUAAUGCUACUGGCAUACCAUCAACAAUUUCACCUAGCAAUGACCGAGCAACAUGGAAUGGCUCCACCACAAGGCUCCAAUCUGAGUAUGGAUGACACCUUCAGGACAAGGAUGAGGACGACCAUGUCAGUGUAGUUCAGUGUAGACUCCUUGUUGUGCAGUGUUGUGUGGACGACUACUGAAGAUUUUUCAGAAGGAACGUUGUGCUGUGCCUUCGUCACUAGACAUAUGUGUACAUUUUGUUCAAUUUCUGCAUCAGGUGUAAUAUGCGUGUGGAAGUUCUAUAGAAAGAUGGGAAGAAAACAGGUAAGUGAAAAAGCCUGUCAACCUUUACUGUCAUAAAAAGUAUUGUUCAGCCGUCUUACCCAAGUUGUUUGUCAACACUGGGGUUGAGCAGUGCUGCAAUCUAGCUGUCUCCUGUGGAACACAGUAUCAGGCACUGCAGAAAAGACAGACACAGCUAUAAACUUAAAGCGAUUUUCUUUAUAAAACACACUUGCGGAUUUUAAU